rnacentral:rRNA from 1 species
CGCUGAUCCCUCCCUCUUGACGAACUGUGAUGCCAUUAAUUUGGUGUCGCAGGGAAUCAGGACUGUUACUUUGAAAAAAUUAGAGUGUUUAAAGCAGGCUCACGCUUGAAUACAUUAGCAUGGAAUAACGGAAUAGGACGUUUGAUUCUAUUUUGUUGGUUUCUAGGAUCGACGUAAUGAUUAAUAGGGAUAGUUGGGGGCAUUAGUAUUCAAUUGUCAGAGGUGAAAUUCUUGGAUUUAUUGAAGACUAACUACUGCGAAAGCAUUUGCCAAGGAUGUUUUCAUUAAUCAAGAACGAAAGUUAGGGGAUCGAAGACGAUCAGAUACCGUCGUAGUCUUAACCAUAAACUAUGCCGACUAGGGAUCGGAUGAUGUUAAUUUUUUAAUGACUCAUUCGGCGCCUUACG